rnacentral:rRNA from 1 species
AUCAGUAAGCGGAGGAAAAGAAACUAACUAGGAUUCCCCCAGUAGCGGCGAGCGAACAGGGAAGAGUCCAGCACCGAAUCUCGCGUUGGGUUGAGCCGGCGCCGAGAAAUGUGGUGUUCGGGAGGACCGCGCGCAUCUGUCCGGUAGUUAACGUCCAAGUCUUCAUGAACGGGGCUAUCAACCCACAGAGGGUGUCAGGCCCGUAGGCUGGCGUGCCGAGACCGUGCACCGGGUCCCUUCCUAAGAGUCGGGUUGCUUGAGCGUGCAGCCCUAAGCGGGAGGUAAACUCCUUCUAAGGCUAAAUAUCGCCACGAGACCGAUAGCGAACAAGUACCGCGAGGGAAAGUUGAAAAGAACUUUGAAGAGAGAGUUCAAUAGUGCGUGAAACCGUUCAGGGGGUUAAACGGGUGAGCCCUCGAAGGUCGAAAGGCUCCCACUCCCGUCAGCAGUCGGCGGCUUCCGUCGACCGUGCGAUCCGUCAAAAGACGCCGGUCGGCAGAGCUCGCUGCCGUACUAUGACCGCAAGUUGGGGGCCUAGUAGGACUCCGCAACCGGCUGGCGCGUCGUUAUAAAGGGCGGCGGUAAUCUGGAUGGCUUGGGCUCGCCUCUCGCCGUCCGGAUCCGUCGUCUCCCGACGAUCGUGCCGGCCGUGUCCUGUGCCGUUCAAACCCGGCAUCGCAGCGGAGAGUAAAAAGUCGGGUCUCACCCGACCCGUCUUGAAACACGGACCAAGGAGUCUAACAUGUGCGCGAGUCGUCGAGUAUUAAACGAAACUCGCGAGGCGUAAUGAAAGUAAAGUCCGGCCCUGAUGAAGGUGCUGCGAGGGGAGAUGCCGUCUCUAUACAAACCGGAGCGGCCGCAUCCCGCGGGCGUUCGAAGCAGCGCACUUAGUCUGCCGAACGAACCCAGAGCGUACACGUUGGGACCCGAAAGAUGGUGACCUAUGCCUGACCAGGACGAAGCCAGGGGAAACCCUGGUGGAGGUCCGCAGCGAUUCUGACGUGCAAAUCGAUCGUCGGAGUUGGGUAUAGGGGCGAAAGACUAAUCGAACCNNCUAGUAGCUGU